rnacentral:rRNA from 1 species
CAGCCGCCGCGGGAAUACGUAGGUGGCAAGCGUUGUCCGGAAUUAUUGGGCGUAAAGGGCUCGCAGGCGGUUUCUUAAGUCUGAUGUGAAAGCCCCCGGCUCAACCGGGGAGGGUCAUUGGAAACUGGGAAACUUGAGUGCAGAAGAGGAGAGUGGAAUUCCACGUGUAGCGGUGAAAUGCGUAGAGAUGUGGAGGAACACCAGUGGCGAAGGCGACUCUCUGGUCUGUAACUGACGCUGAGGAGCGAAAGCGUGGGGAGCGAACAGGAUUAGAUACCCCUGUAGUCCCUGUCUCUUAUAA